GACGUAGGGAGCGAGCGUUGUCCGGAUUUAUUGGGCGUAAAGAGCGUGUAGGCGGCCAGACAGGUCCGUUGUGAAAACUCGAGGCUCAACCUCGAGACGCCGAUGGAAACCGUUUGGCUAGAGUCCGGAAGAGGAGAGUGGAAUUCCUGGUGUAGCGGUGGAAUGCGCAGAUAUCAGGAGGAACACCAACGGCGAAGGCAGCUCGCUGGGACGGUACUGACGCUAAGGCGCGAAAGCGUGGGGAGCGAACGAGG
rnacentral:rRNA from 1 species